UACAGAGGUCUCAAGCGUUGUUCGGAUUCAUUGGGCGUAAAGGGUGCGUAGGCGGCGCGGUAAGUCGGGUGUGAAAUCUCGGAGCUUAACUCCGAAACUGCAUUCGAUACUGCCGUGCUUGAGGACUGGAGAGGAGAUCGGAAUUCACGGUGUAGCAGUGAAAUGCGUAGAUAUCAUGAGGAAGACCAGUGGCGAAGGCGGAUCUCUGGACAGUUCCUGACGCUGAGGCGCGAAGGCCAGGGGAGCAAACGGG
rnacentral:rRNA from 1 species